GAAUGAGAUGGAGGUUUAAAUCAGACCUAAAGCCUUGCUGGGUGGCAGUGAGGCUGGCUUAAUGAAAGCUUUAAAUACUUUAGUACCCUGGCCUUUCCCCAACCUGCAGAGCACUGAUACUGCUUGGGUUUGCUCUUCUGACUUCGUUAUGCCCUCCCCCGCGGCCACAGCCACCACCCCAGAAGUUCUAGAGCAUGGCUGCCCAGAUGAACCUGCUAUUAGAAAUUCCUGAGAGGCCGGAGAUUUAGCUCAGGGGUUCCGCCGCCUGCCUCGCAAGCUCAAGGACCCAAGUCAACCAUUCUACGCAAAAGCAAGAUGCUGCUUAAAUGCAAACCGCAUCUGGCCAAGCUGCAGCCGAGGCCCUGAACUCCACUUUGCUCUUAGAAGAGCAUUCUCCCCUCCGAGCCUUCACAGACCUCUUGAUGGCCGGAAAGGAACUAUCCAGACCCUUCUCAACCAGCCACGCCAUGGAGGAAUAAUUUCAAGAGACCUAUUGACCAGCGUGGUGACUAUAUGUAAGUGUUCUACCACCAGAUAAGUAUACU